rnacentral:misc_RNA from 1 species
GAUGAAGAACGUAGCGAAAUGCGAUAAGUAAUGUGAAUUGCAGAAUUCAGUGAAUCAUCGAAUCUUUGAACGCACAUUGCGCCCAUUAGUAUUCUAGUGGGCAUGCCUGUUCGAGCGUCAUUAAGUCCACUUAAGCCCUGCUUAGUGUUGGGAGACUGCUCCAGCGGUGCUACCCUGUAGCUACCCUGCAGCUCCUCAAAGACAGCGGCGGAGUUGUGGUAUCCUCUGAGCUUAGUAACUUGUUCUAGCUUUCGAGUACAACACUUCCCCUGCCGUAAAACCCUUAAUUUUUAAUGGUUGACCUCGGAUCAGGUAGGAAUACCCGCUGAACUUAAGCAUAUCAAUAAGCGGAGGA